rnacentral:rRNA from 1 species
GUGGGGAAUCUUAGACAAUGGGCGCAAGCCUGAUCUAGCCAUGCCGCGUGGACGAUGAAGGCCUUAGGGUUGUAAAGUCCUUUCGCUGGGGAAGAUAAUGACGGUACCCAGUAAAGAAGCCCCGGCUAACUCCGUGCCAGCAGCCGCGGUAAUACGGAGGGGGCUAGCGUUGUUCGGAAUUACUGGGCGUAAAGCGCGCGUAGGCGGAUCGGAAAGUUGGGGGUGAAAUCCCGGGGCUCAACCUCGGAACUGCCUUCAAAACUCCCGGUCUUGAGUUCGAGAGAGGUGAGUGGAAUUCCGAGUGUAGAGGUGAAAUUCGUAGAUAUUCGGAGGAACACCAGUGGCGAAGGCGGCUCACUGGCUCGAUACUGACGCUGAGGUGCGAAAGCGUGGGGAGCAAACAGGAUUAGAAACCCCGGUAGUCC